GUAAUCAUAUAAGAAUUUUUGAGGGAUACCUUGGUAUUCAAAAAUGAAGAAGGACGUAUUUCAAUGCGAUAAGUUUUAAGAAGAGAUAACUAAAUCUUUGAUUUAAAAAUUUCCGAAUGAGGAAACUCCAAGAACUUUUUAUUUAAUAAAAAUAAAAAAGAAUAAACUUAAUGAAUUGAAACAUCUUAGUAAUUAAUGGAAUAGAAAAUAAAAAUGAUUCCCUUAGUAGUGGUGAACAAAAGGGGAAAUGUCUAAACUUAUAAAAAUAAGGGUUAUAGGAUUUUAAAACUAUAUUUAUAAACGUUAUAAAAAUCUUUUGAAAUAAAGUACCAAAGAAAGUUAUAGUCUUGUUUUAUAUCGUUUUUAUAAUAUUUUUAUUUUCCUAAGUAGCAUGAAUCACGUGAAAUUUUGUGUGAAUUAACGAGGACCAUCUCGUAAGACUAAAUAUUAAUGAAUAACCUAUAGUAAACUAGUACCGUGAGGGAACGGUGAAAAGAAUCCCGAGAGGGAUGUGAAAAAGAGCAUGAAAUCAUAAAUUUACAAACAGUAGAAAAACGAUAUAACGUUUAUCUGCGUUCCUGUUGAAGAAUGCGUCGGCGAGUUAUUUAUAAUGGCUUGGUUAAUUUAUGUUUUAUUGAAGCCUUAACGAAAGUAAGUCUAAAAAGGGCUUGUGUCAUUAUAUUUAAACCCGAACUCAAAUGAUCUAACCAAGAGCAGAAUGAAUUUUAAAUAAAAUUAAGUGGAGGUUCGAACUGUCUAAUGUUGAAAAAUUAGCAGAUGACUUUUGGUUAGGGGUGAAAUGCCAAUCGAAUUUGAAGCUAGCUGGUUCUCUUCGAAAUGUGUUUAGGCGCAGCAAUAAAUGUUUUUUUUAGGGGUAAAGCACUGUUUUAAAAAAUAUUAGAAAUAAGAGUUUAUUAAUACAAACUAAGAAUACUAUAUAAAAAAUUUAUUAGUUAGACAUUGUGGGAUAAGCUUCAAUGUCAAAAGGGAAACAGCCCAGAUUACCAUCUAAGGUCUCAAAAUAAUUACCAAGUGUAAAAGGAAGUAUUUCUACUUAAACAAUCAGGAGGUUGGCUUAGAAGCAGCAAUCCUUUAAAAAAUGCGUAAUAGCUUACUGAUCGAGUUGAUAUGCACCGAAAAUAAUUGGGGCUAAGUAAUUUACCGAAGAUGUGAGAUAAUAUGAUUAUCGAUAGAAGAGCGUUCUGUUUUUGUAAGAAGCAUUAAUGAAAAUAAAUGUAGACAAAUCAGAAGUGAGAAUGUCGACUUGAGUAACGAAAACAUUAGUGAGAAUCUAAUGCUCCGAAAACUUAAAGAUUCCGUUGUUAGAUUCGUUCUCAGCGGGUUAGUCUGGUCCUAAGAUAAGGUCAAAUGACGUAGUUAAUGGAAAAUAGGUUAAUAUUCCUAUACUAUUUUUUAUUUAUAAAAAAGGACGAAAUGGGCUAAAAUAACCGAUUAUUGGUUAUCGGUACAAAUAUUUUAAAUUUAGAUUGAUUUUUAAAAUAUCAGGAGUGUAAAAAUUUGUAUAAUAUGUAAUUUCAUAAAAAUAUAAUAGGCUAUAUUUCCAAGAAAAGUUUAAUUUAUUAAAAUAAAAAAUACUAGUACUUAAACCAUCACAGGUGAGUUAGUAAAAUAUACUAAGGAGCGCGAAAUAACUCUCGCUAAGGAACUCGGCAAAUUAACUUUUUACCUUCGGAAAAAAAAGUACCUUUUGGGUUGCAAUAAAAAGAUUCAAACGACUGUUUAACAAAAACACAGGUUUCUGCUAAGUUGUAAAACGAUGUAAAGAAGCUGACACCUGCCCAGUGCCAGAUGGUUAAAGAAAUUUGUUAAUAAACUUAUAACAUAAGCCCUGGUGAACGGCGGCCGUAACUAUAACGGUCCUAAGGUAGCGAAAUUCCUUGUCGGGUAAGUUCCGACCCGCACGAAAGGUGUAACGAUUUGGAUGCUGUCUAUGCGAGAGAUUCGGUGAAAUAGACAUGUCUGUGAAGAUGCGGACUACCUGUACCAGGACAGAAAGACCCUAUGAAGCUUUACUGUAAUUAAAUAUUGAUUUUAAAAACGUUUUGUGCAGAAUAAAUGGAAGUUAAUAAAUGUUUUAUGACUAUCUAUUAACGCUAGUGAGAUACCAUUCUUAACGUUUUUAAAAUCUAAUUAUACUUUUAUAAAACAGUUUUUAAUAGACAGUUUGACUGGGGCGGUCACCUCCUAAAAAGUAACGGAGGUGUACAAUGGUUUUAGAAAAUCGGUCAGAAAUCGAUUAUAACGCAUAAAGGUAAAUAAAAGCUUGACUGUAAGACAAACACGUCAAACAGAGACGAAAGUCGGUCUUAGUGAUCUGAUAAUACUAAAUGGAAGGGUUAUCACUCAACGGAUAAAAGUUACUCUAGGGAUAACAGGCUAAUCUUCCCCGAGAGUUCCUAUCGACGGGAAGGUUUGGCACCUCGAUGUCGGCUCAUCGCAUCCUGAAGCAGUAGUAUGUUUCAAGGGUUGGGCUGUUCGCCCAUAAAAGCGGUACGCGAGCUGGGUUCAGAACGUCGUGAGACAGUUUGGUCCAUAUCCGGUAUUGGCGUUCGAGUAUUGAAGAAAUUUAUUUUUAGUACGAGAGGACCAAAAUAAACAGACCACUGGUGUAUCAAUUAUUAUACCAAUAGUAUAUGUUGAGUAGCUAAGUCUGAAAAGAUAAUCACUGAAAGCAUAUAAGUGAGAAACUAAUUCUAAGAUUAAUGCUCGUUAAUAAAAUUAGACUCUGAUUAGACUAAUCAGUUGAUAGGUAUUUUGUAGAAAUUUAGUAAUAAAUUAAGCAAAAAUAUACUAAUAAGUCAAACUAUUA
rnacentral:rRNA from 1 species